rnacentral:rRNA from 1 species
CCGGCCUGAGAGGGCGACCGGCCACACUGGGACUGAGACACGGCCCAGACUCCUACGGGAGGCAGCAGUGGGGAAUAUUGCGCAAUGGGCGAAAGCCUGACGCAGCAACGCCGCGUGAGGGAUGACGGCCUUCGGGUUGUAAACCUCUUUCAGCAGGGACGAAGCGAAAGUGACUGUACCUGCAGAAGAAGCGCCGGCUAACUACGUGCCAGCAGCCGCGGUAAUACGUAGGGCGCAAGCGUUGUCCGGAUUUAUUGGGCGUAAAGAGUUCGUAGGCGGUCUGUCGCGUCGGAAGUGAAAACCCGGAGCUCAACUCCGGGCCUGCUUUCGAUACGGGCAGACUUGAGU